rnacentral:rRNA from 1 species
UGAGUACGAGCUGCUACGGCAGCGAAGUGGGUGAUGUCAAGCUUCCAAGAAAAGCCCUAUACCCGUUAAGGCAUGACGGCCUGUACCCGAAACCGACACAGGUGGGGUGGUAGAGAAUACCGAGGGGCGCGAGAUAACUCUCUCUAAGGAACUCGGCAAAAUGGCCCCGUAACUUCGGGAGAAGGGGUGCCACCGCAAGGUGGUCGCAGUGAAGAGGCCCAGGCGACUGUUUACCAAAAACACAGGUCUCCGCUAAGUCGCAAGACGAUGUAUGGGGGCUGACGCCUGCCCAGUGCCGGAAGGUUAAGGAAGCUGGUCAGCGCAAGCGAAGCUAGCGACUGAAGCCCCGGUGAACGGCGGCCGUAACUAUAACGGUCCUAAGGUAGCGAAAUUCCUUGUCGGGUAAGUUCCGACCCGCACGAAAGGCGUAACGAUCUGGGCGCUGUCUCGGAGAGAGGCUCGGCGAAAUAGAAUUGUCUGUGAAGAUGCGGACUACGUGCACCCGGACAGAAAGACCCUAUGAAGCUUUACUGUAGCUUGGUAUUGUGCCCGGGCUCUGAAUGCGCAGGAUAGGUGGGAGGCUUUGAUCCAUUGCUUGUGGGUAAUGGUGAGCCACUGGUGAGAUACCACUCUUUCAGAGCUAGGGUUCUAACGGUCACCCGUUAUCCGGGGACCGGACAGUAUCAGGUGGGCAGUUUGACAGGGGCGGUCGCCUCCUAAAAGGUAACGGAGGCGCGCAAAGGUUCCCUCAGGCUGGUUGGAAAUCAGCCGACGAGUGUAAAGGCAGAAGGGGGCUUGACUGCGAGACCUACAAGUCGAACAGGGACGAAAGUCGGCCUUAGUGAUCCGACGGUUCUGAGUGGAAGGGCCGUCGCUCAACGGAUAAAAGUUACUCUAGGAUAACAGGCUGAUCUCCCCCAAGAGUUCACAUCGACGGGGAGGUUUGGCACCUCGAUGUCGGCUCAUCGCAACCUGGGGCUGAAGUCGGUCCCAAGGGUUGGGCUGUUCGCCCAUUAAAGCGGUACGCGAGCUGGGUUCAGAACGUCGUGAGACAGUUCGGUCCAUAUCCGGCGCACGCGCAGGAACAUUGAGAGGAUUUCUCCCUAGUACGAGAGGACCGGGAGGAACGCACCUCUGGUGUACCAGUUAUCGUGCCAACGGUAAACGCUGGGUAGCCAUGUGCGGAGCGGAUAACUGCUGAAAGCAUCUAAGUGGGAAGCCCACCUCAAGAUGAGUGUUCCCAUGGCAUAAGCCAGUAAGGUCACGGGAAGAACACCCGUUGAUAGGCUCUACGUGGAAGCGUGGCAACACGUGAAGCGGAGGAGUACUAAUAGACCGAGGGCUUGACC